rfam:Daphnia pulex DAPPTscaffold_267_Cont8058, whole genome shotgun sequence.
GGGGUUGUAACUCAGUGGUAGAGUGUUCGCUUUGCUUGCGAAAAGCCCGGAGUUCAAUCCUCCGCAACUCCA